UACGAAGGGGGCUAGCGUUGCUCGGAAUUACUGGGCGUAAAGGGAGCGUAGGCGGACAUUUAAGUCAGAGGUGAAAUCCCGGAGCUUAACUUCGGAACUGCCUUUGAUACUGGAUGUCUUGAGUGUGAGAGAGGUAUGUGGAACUCCGAGUGUAGAGGUGAAAUUCGUAGAUAUUCGGAAGAACACCAGAGGCGAAGGCGACAUACUGGCUCAUUACUGACGCUGAGGCUCGAAAGCGUGGGGAGCAAACAGG
rnacentral:rRNA from 1 species